AUGGCCGCCGCCGCAGUGCUCCGGGGCGGCUCCCGCCGCGCCCUCGCCUACCCGGCCCUCCGCGCCGCCGUGAUCUCCGGCCCCGCCGCGCUCCCGGACGUCGCCGCGGCCGCAGGCCCCCAGCCCCCGCCGCCGCCGCCGCUGGCCGCUGGCCUCUGGGCCAGGUCCAUGGCCACCUUCACCCGCACGAAGCCCCACGUCAACGUCGGCACCAUCGGCCACGUCGACCACGGCAAGACCACCCUCACCGCCGCCAUCACCAAGGUGCUGGCGGAGGCCGGGAGCGCCAAGGCGGUGGCGUUCGACGAGAUCGACAAGGCCCCGGAGGAGAAAGCCAGAGGAAUCACCAUCUCUACGGCUCAUGUCGAGUAUGAGACUGCUAAGAGGCACUAUGCUCACGUGGACUGUCCAGGGCACGCCGAUUACGUCAAGAACAUGAUCACCGGUGCUGCUCAAAUGGAUGGUGGUAUUCUUGUCGUGUCCGCUCCUGAUGGCCCCAUGCCACAAACAAAGGAGCAUAUUCUUCUAGCUCGACAGGUUGGCGUGCCAUCACUUGUUUGUUUCUUGAACAAAGUUGACGCUGUUGAAGAUGAAGAGCUACUAGAACUUGUGGAGAUGGAGCUUCGAGAGCUCCUCAGUUUCUACAAGUUCCCAGGCGAUGAUAUUCCUAUCAUCCGUGGAUCUGCCUUGUCAGCCUUGAACGGAACAAACGAGGAGAUUGGAAAGAAUGCUAUUUUGAAACUGAUGGAUGCCGUCGAUUCGUACAUCCCUGAUCCUGUGAGGGUGCUUGAUAAGUCUUUCUUGAUGCCCAUCGAAGGCAUUUUCUCAAUCCAGGGUCGUGGCACUGUUGUGACUGGACGUAUUGAACAGGGGGUAAUUAAAACUGGUGAGGAUGUUGAGGUCAUAGGUUUGACAGAGAGUGGUCCGGUGAAGACUACAGUUACUGGUGUUGAGAUGUUCAAAAAGAUGAUGGAUCAUGGAGAGGCUGGUGACAAUGUUGGUCUUCUUCUCCGUGGUCUUAAGCGUGGUGAUGUUGAGCGUGGCCAGGUGGUGUGCAAACCUGGCACCGUAAAGACCUACAAGAAGUUUGAGGCCGAAAUUUACGUCCUCACCAAGGAUGAAGGUGGUCGCCACACUGCCUUCUUCUCGAAUUAUAGCCCACAGUUCUACUUCAGGACAGCUGAUAUCUGUGGGAAAAUCGAGUUGCCUCCGGAUGUGAAGAUGGUUAUGCCUGGUGACAAUGUAACCGCAAUCUUUGAGUUGAUGUUGCCUGUUCCACUCGAACCAGGUCUAAGAUUCGCGCUGAGGGAAGGAGGGAGGACCGUCGGUGCCGGAGUCGUCGCCAAAGUCAUGAGCUAA
rnacentral:rRNA from 1 species